UACAGAGGUCUCGAGCGUUGUUCGGAUUCAUUGGGCGUAAAGGGUGCGUAGGCGGCGCGGUAAGUCGGGUGUGAAAUCUCGGAGCUUAACUCCGAAACUGCAUUUGAUACUGGCGUGCUUGAGGACUGGAGAGGAGACUGGAAUUCAUGGUGUAGCAGUGAAAUGCGUAGAGAUCAUGAGGAAGACCAGUGGCGAAGGCGGGUCUCUGGACAGUUCCUGACACUGAGGCACGAAGGCCAGGGGAGCAAACGGG
rnacentral:rRNA from 1 species